rnacentral:rRNA from 1 species
AUUGACCGCUGUCGGCAGGCCUAACACCUGCAAGUCGAACGUGCGGCGGCCGCGUCAAUAAUGUCUGGGACACUGCCCGAUGGCGGGGGAUAACUACUGGAAACGGUAGCUACUACCGCAUACCAUCGACUGUGCCCCGCUGGGAUUAGCUAGUAGGUGGGGUAACUGCUCACCUCGGCGACGAUCCCUAGCUGGUCUGAGAGGCUGACCAGCAACACGGGAACGGAGACACGGUCCAGGAGCCUACUGUGGGCACCAGUGGGGAAUAUGGCACAAGGGGCGCAAGCCUGAUGCAGCCAUGCCGCGGGUAUGAAGAAGGCCUUCGGGUUGUAAAGUACUUUCAGCGAGGAGGCGUUACUCGCAGAAGAAUCACCGGCUAACUCCGUGCCAGCAGCCGCGGUAAUUC